CGCGUAGGCGGACAGUAUAGUCAGGCGUGAAAUUCCUGGGCUCAACCUGGGGGCUGCGCUUGAUACGUGCUGUCUUGAGUGGGGAAGAGGGUCGUGGAAUUCCCAGUGUAGAGGUGAAAUUCGUAGAUAUUGGGAAGAACACCGGUGGCGAAGGCGGCGACCUGGUCCUUGACUGACGCUGAGGCGCGAAAGCGUGGGGAGCAAACAGGAUUAGAUACCCUGGUAGUCCACGCCGUAAACGAUGUGCGCUGGAUGUUGGGCGGCCUAGCCGUUCAGUGUCGUAGCUAACGCGAUAAGCGCACCGCCUGGGGAGUACGGCCGCAAGGUUGAA
rnacentral:rRNA from 1 species